rnacentral:rRNA from 1 species
AGUGAACGCUGGCGGUAGGCCUAACACAUGCAAGUCGAACGGCAGCACAGUAAGAGCUUGCUCUUACGGGUGUCGCGUGGCGGACGGGUGAGGAAUACAUCGGAAUCUACUUUUUCGUGGGGGAUAACGUAGGGAAACUUACGCUAAUACCGCAUACGACCUACGUGUGAAAGCAGGGGAUCUUCGGACCUUGCGCGAUUGAAUGAGCCGAUGUCGGAUUAGCUAGUUGGCGGGGUAAAGGCCCACCAAGGCGACGAUCCGUAGCUGGUCUGAGAGGAUGAUCAGCCACACUGGAACUGAGACACGGUCCAGACUCCUACGGGAGGCAGCAGUGGGGAAUAUUGGACAAUGGGCGCAAGCCGAAUCCAGCCAUACCGCGUGGGUGAAGAAGGCCUUAGGGUUGUAAAGUCCUUUUGUUGGGAAAGAAAAGCAGCAGGUUAAUACCCCGCUGUUCUGACGGUACCCAAAGAAUAAGCACCGGCUAACUUCGUG